AAUCCCAUGGACAGAGGAGCCUGGCAGGCUACAGUCCAUGGGGCCACAAAGAGUUGGACGCAACUGAACAACUAAGAACACAAGCCAAUCAUUAAUAGUUUUAUCUGUUCAAGUGGUUCCUCAUGGAUCCCAACUCAGAAGAUGAUUGGGGUGUUUAGCGUUAUGUGAAUUGCUACAUAAACUCAAAAGAAUUGAUCUUUUCAUAAAGAUAUUCUAUAAUUUUCAUGAAAUUAUAUUUUCCUGGAUUCAUCUUUCUGGAGUUGGUCACUCACGAUGCAUGUUAUUGCUCUCUAGCUGCCCAGAGCAUAAAUCGCUGCCCAUGAGUGUCUCACUGAGGAAGCAGUCAAGUCUACCACACGAUCACGCCAAACACAGCUGAAGGGACCAGGGGUAACCUCCAUCCUGAUUCCCUUCUCUAAGGUUAAGUUUCUGGUUAUUCUGCCCAGUUUUGGAGAGCAAUCUACACGUUCUUUUCUACACCACCGAAUUUUCUUCCCACAAAAUAUCAAAUUACAUUGACAGUGACUAUCUCUGGCAGAAAUGGAUUUUCUAUCAAUGCUCUAGUAAUAAAGAUAGUUAUAAGGAAACGUUGUGCUUUUGAAAGCUCUUGUUUUUCCAUAGGACAUUUCUUAGAACACUUUAAAUACCUGCCUAAUCUUUGGGGGGUAUGGAAAAUUGAUCGUUACAAGCCCCAGUGUGUUUUGGGUAUUAUGAAACACUAAGAACUCACUCUCUGAUUUUGUUUCCUAGAGACAUAUGACAGCAAACAAAGCAGACAUAGAAGUGUUAUCCUAUUUUUUGGUGAGAACUAUGAGAAGUCAUUUCAAGAAAGACUGACUCUGCAAUUCUGCCAUGAACCUCACGUCAUCAAAA